AGCUAUUAAAGUGUAGCGCAUUGAGAACUUUCUUCAUGCUGUGAUACCUAUUCAAGAAGCAGAAUAGGGUCUGAACUAAUCCAUGAAAGUUGUCAUGCUCUGAGCUCGUCGCCGGCCCUUUUCCCUUUUCAAUCUGGCCUAGAACUAUACUGUACUUCACAGUUCAUUGGCCCUUCAGAUACAAGGACUCAAUAUCCCUGCAGGAAAUAGUCUGUCUCUGUGAACAGUAGUGUUGAACGUGGAAAGACCUUGUACCUCUCCGCCGACAUAAUUAGUCGCUCUUCACAAAUGAGCUUCAAGUUUAGGGGAGAUUUCUUUCUUUCCUUCUCCUCCUCCUCUUCUCCCCUUUUCCAUUUCUUUCCUCCUUUCCGCCUUUCUUCCCCUUUCUGUUUAACUUUCUCAACUUGACUCUGUUUGGCAAAGUUUCCCCAAAUCUUUCUGUCUCCAACUAUUGCAAAGGCAUCCCUUUUCCUCCUCUUUCGUCCCUUUUCUAUACCUGACAUCAAGGAGCUGGAGUGGUCCUGAGUGAAGGCACUAUAUAAACAAGCAUCCGGAUAUUGGCACCCUGUCUUGGGUGGCCCUGCACAGUUUCGCUCGUGACAUCAUUGAGGUGCUCAAGCUCCAGCACCACGACAAAGCAGCGAUCCUUUGCUGGAGGCAGAAGGGGAAUCCGGGUAGUGCCACAUCGCGAGAUGAACCUGAGAGAGAAACCUAGAUCAUGAAUCUGCUGUAAAUUUUACUCCAGACUUUUCUGGAGAAAUAAUGGGAAGAGGGAUUCAGCACCUUGGAUUGUUUGUGAAAGUUCAGACUAAAACCCGGAGCGGAUUUGUUGCCACACGGAGAUGGAAGCUGCCCGCUAUGAUUUGGGGUGAGUGACUUGGACCUGGGAAUUUCCUUGCAAAGUGGGUCUGCAAGGAAAAUAUAUUUCCUUGGAGAAAAGGAGACAUUUAGAUGUAAUAAUAACAGUUUAGCCACCCAGCAGUGAAGUUUGGUGUAACCAAUUGAGCAUGACUUACACAUCUGUGCACUUCUGAGAAAUGUUGUU